UACGUAGGGGGCAAGCGUUGUCCGGAUUUACUGGGCGUAAAGAGCGUGUAGGCGGCCAAGCAGGUCCGUUGUGAAAACUGGAGGCUUAACCUCCAGACGUCGACGGAAACCGCGGGGCUAGAGUCCGGAAGAGGAGAGUGGAAUUCCUGGUGUAGCGGUGAAAUGCGCAGAUAUCAGGAAGAACACCAAUGGCGAAGGCAGCUCUCUGGGACGGUACUGACGCUGAGACGCGAAAGCGUGGGGAGCGAACAGG
rnacentral:rRNA from 1 species